UACGUAGGACCCAAGCGUUAUCCGGAAUUACUGGGCGUAAAGCGUGCGCAGGCGGUGCGCCAAGCUCGAUGUGAAAGCCCCGGGCUUAACCUGGGAAUUGCAUUGAGGACUGGCGUGCUCGAGUGCGGCAGAGGGGGGUGGAAUUCCACGUGUAGCAGUGAAAUGCGUAGAGAUGUGGAGGAACACCGAUGGCGAAGGCAGCCCCCUGGGCCGACACUGACGCUCAUGCACGAAAGCGUGGGGAGCAAACAGG
rnacentral:rRNA from 1 species